CGGCGCGACUGAGGUCAUCACGUUCGUCCUUCCCCCACCCCCGGGUGUAAAUCGGUUUCUAGAGAAACGCAAGUGGUAUCUUGCCCUGAAUGCCACCAAUCUGGCAUAAUAGGCUGGUGCUGGAAUGGAGACAGAGCGUGUGCACCUCACAUAAGUGUGACAUAGCUGAUAGGUCAGGAUCUGAAGCUCAUCUGCAGUGAAUCGAUUGUCGUCCCACAAGACGUAAUAAUGUGAAGGUCUGCUGGUGCCCUGCAGUCAUAAGGGGUGAAAUUAUGAAUUUCAAUUAAGAAAAUAGCACUGAGAAAGCAAACAGUAAUCUACCUCUUCACCACUGCACUGUAUUUAAGGGAAGGAAAUCUGUCGUCCUGAUCUGGCCUCCAUGUGACUUUUAAAUCACUCAGUUGUACCAAACCACUACAAAGUCUACAAGGAACGAAGCUGGACAGAUCACUCAAUAUCGACUUAGGCAUUGGAAACGACAAUUGUCAACUCGGCAAAAUCCUCUUUACUAACAUGUGGGGGCUUGUACCAAAACUGGGGGGGCUGUCUCACAGUCAAGUCAAGCAACAGUCUGACAUAGUCAUGGUCACAGAAACAUACCAUACAGAUAAUGUCCUAGACACCACCAUCACCAUCCAUGGGUAUGUCCUGUCCCAGCGGCAGGACAGAUCGAGCAGAGGUGGCGGCAUAGCGGUAUACAGUCAGGAGGGAGUUGCUCUGGAGUCCCCAACAUAGACUCUGGACCCCAAGAAGUGUCAUGGCAUCAGGUCAAACAUGGGCAAGGAAAUCUCCUGAUUACGUUCCACCCACCAAAACACCACACCCACCACCCCCGCCCUCAGCUGAUGAGAACGUAUUCCUCCGUGUUGAACACCACUUGGAGGAAGCGCUGAGGGCGCCAUGGGUGCAGAAUGUAGUCCGAGUGGGAGACUUCAAUGUCCAUCACCAAGAGUGGCUCGGUAGCACAACUAUUGAUUGAGCUGGCCUAGACCUAAAGGACAUAGCUGCUUGACUGGGUUUGCAGCAAGUGAUGAGGGAACGAACAAGAGGGAAAAACAUACUUGACUGCAUCCUCACCAAUCUGCUUGCCGCAGAUGCAUCUGUCCAUAACAGCAUCGGUAGGAGUGACCAUCGCACAAUCCUUUUGGAGAUGAUAUCCCGUCUUCACCUUGAGGAUACCCUCCAUCGUGGUGUGUAGCACUAUCACUGUGCUAAGUGGGAUAGAUUUCGAAAAGAUUUAGCAACUCAAAACUGAGCAUCUAUGAGGCACUGUAGGCCAUCAGCAGCAGCAGAAUCAUACUCAACCACAAUCUGUAACCUCAUGGACCAGCAUAUUCUCCACCCUACCAUCAAUACCAAGCCAGGGGAUCAACACUGGUUCAGUGAAGAGAGCAGGAAGGCAUGCCAGGAGCAGGACCAGGCAUACCUAAAAAAUGAGGCAUCAACCUGGUGAAGCUACAACUCAGGACUACUUGUUUGCCAAACAGCGUAAACAGCAUGUAAUAAAGCUAAGCAAAUGCACAACCAACGGAUCAGAUCUAAGUUUCGCAGUCCUGCCACAUCCAGUUGUGAAUGUUGGUAG